rnacentral:rRNA from 1 species
GACGAACUCUUUCUUCGUGCCUAAUACAUGCAAGUUGAGCGCUGAAGGUUGGUACUUGUACCAACUGGAUGAGCAGCGCACGGGUGAGUAACGCGUGGGGAAUCUGCCUUUGAGCGGGGGACAACAUUUGGAAACGAAUGCUAAUACCGCAUAAAAACUUUAAACACAAGUUUUAAGUUUGAAAGAUGCAAUUGCAUCACUCAAAGAUGAUCCCGCGUUGUAUUAGCUAGUUGGUGAGGUAAAGGCUCACCAAGGCGAUGAUACAUAGCCGACCUGAGAGGGUGAUCGGCCACAUUGGGACUGAGACACGGCCCAAACGCCUACGGGAGGCAGCAGUAGGGAAGCUUCGGCAAUGGACGAAAGUCUGACCGAGCAACGCCGCGUGAGUGAAGAAGGUUUUCGGAUCGUAAAACUCGGUUGGUAGAGAAGAACGUUGGUGAGAGUGGAAAGCUCAUCAAGUGACGGUAACUACCCAGAAAGGGACGGCUAACUACGUG